rnacentral:rRNA from 1 species
CCUACGGGAGGCAGCAGUGAGGAAUAUUGGUCAAUGGGCGCAAGCCUGAACCAGCCAAGUAGCGUGAAGGAUGACUGCCCUACGGGUUGUAAACUUCUUUUAUAAAGGAAUAAAGUGAGGCACGUGUACCUCUUUGUAUGUACCUUAUGAAUAAGGAUCGGCUAACUCCGUGCCAGCAGCCGCGGUAAUACGGAGGAUCCGAGCGUUAUCCGGAUUUAUUUGGGUUAAAGGGAGCGUAGGUGGGUUGUUAAGUCAGCUGUGAAAGUUUGCGGCUCAACCGUGGACUUGCAAUUGAAACUGGGAGCGUUGAGGGCAGUUGAGGGAGGCGGGAAUCGUGGUGGAGCGGUGAAAUGCUUAG